rnacentral:rRNA from 1 species
AUUGAACGCUGGCGGCAUGCUUUACACAUGCAAGUCGAACGGUAACAGGGAGCUUGCUCCGCUGACGAGUGGCGAACGGGUGAGUAAUGCGUCGGAACGUGCCGAGUAGUGGGGGAUAACGCAUCGAAAGGUGUGCUAAUACCGCAUACGUACUGAGGUAGAAAGUGGGGGACCUUCGUGCCUCACGCUAUUCGAGCGGCCGACGACUGAUUAGCUAGUUGGUGAGGUAAAGGCUCACGAAGGCGACGAUCAGUAGCGGGUCUGAGAGGAUGCAGUGCCACACUGGGACUGGGAAACGGCCCAGACUCCUACGGGAGGCAGCAGGUGUGAAUAUUAUAGAAUGGGCGCUAGGUAGAGAAAGCUAUGCAGCGUGUCUGAAGAAGGCCUGUGGGUUGAAAAGCACUGUGGUCCGGGAGCAAAAACUGGGGGCUAAAAUCGGCCGGAGCUGAGAGUACCGGAAGAAUAAGCACCGGCGAACUACGUGCCAGCAGCCGCAGUAAAAC